AUUCUCUUAGUAUAAACAGUACAAUUGAUUCCAAUCAGUUAGAUCUAGCAAACUCUAGAAGAGAAUA
rnacentral:tRNA from 1 species